rnacentral:rRNA from 1 species
CCUACGGGUGACAGCAGUGAGGAAUAUUGGUCAAUGGGCGUAAGCCUGAACCAGCCAAGUCGCGUGAGGGAUGAAGGUUCUAUGGAUCGUAAACCUCUUUUGUAAGGGAGUAAAAUACGGCACGUGUCCCGUUUUGUAUGUACCUUAUGAAUAAGUAUCGGCUAACUCCGUGCCAGCAGCCGCGGUAAUACGGAGGAUCCGAGCGUUAUUCGGAUUUAUUGGGGUUAAAGGGUGCGUAGGCGGUCUUUUAAGUCAGCGGUGAAAGUCUGUGGCUCAACCAUAGCAGUGCCGUUGAAACUGGUAGGCUUGUGUAUGUUUGAGGCAGGCGGAAUGCGUGGUGUAGCGGUGAAAUGCUUAGAUAUCACGCAGAACCCCGAUUGCGAAGGCAGCCUGCCAAGCCAUGACUGACGCUGAUGCACGAAAGUGUGGGGAUCAAACAGGAUUAGAUACCCUAGUAGUC